GGGAGCGUAAGUUUUGACAAAAGCUCACUUCUAAAAUAAGCAAAUCCAGUCUUCUGAAAUCUGGCUAAACUUUCAGAAAAAUCAUAAUUGCUAACAUUUUCAAAAAGCAACCAGCUCUAGCUUACGCUUAAGCUGCAUCCUUCCCGCGUACUCCUGAUAAGCGGAUAAGGGUGUUAUAUUAUCAGGAUAGAUGAUAUUCUUCCCUUGGAUAUCAUCAAACCCCAAAGGGAUUAAGGCAUCAAAAAUUUUGCCCGUUUCUUAUUUGAUGUCCCAAAAACGAAACCGGCUACAUUUGUAGAAUUAUUUUGGAAACGCAUUUGGACGUGGGUUCAAUCCCGCCGCUUCCACUA
rnacentral:tmRNA from 1 species